rnacentral:rRNA from 1 species
AUUGAACGCUGGCGGCAUGCCUUACACAUGCAAGUCGAACGGCAGCACGGGUGCUUGCACCUGGUGGCGAGUGGCGAACGGGUGAGUAAUAUAUCGGAACGUACCUUAUCGUGGGGGAUAACGCAGCGAAAGCUGCGCUAAUACCGCAUACGCCCUGAGGGGGAAAGCGGGGGGACCGUAAGGCCUCGCGCGAUUAGAGCGGCCGAUAUCUGAUUAGCUUGUUGGUGGGGUAAAAGCCCACCAAGGCGACGAUCAGUAGCUGGUCUGAGAGGACGAUCAGCCACACUGGGACUGAGACACGGCCCAGACUCCUACGGGAGGCAGCAGUGGGGAAUUUUGGACAAUGGGGGCAACCCUGAUCCAGCAAUGCCGCGUGAGUGAAGAAGGCCUUCGGGUUGUAAAGCUCUUUUGUCAGGGAAGAAACAGCAGCUCUAACACAGUCUGCGAAUGACGGUACCUGAAGAAUAAGCACCGGCUAACUACGUG